GGACUUGGCUUCACUUGGUGUGUCCAAUUGGCGCCGGUUAGCACGAGAAAGAAACGACUGGCGCGCUUUGUUAAUCUCGGCCAAAAUCGCGUAAGCGGUUAUCGCGCCAAUUAAGAAGAAGAAGAAGUGCAGGCUGUUGAAGCCAAGCUGAAAAAUAAAGCUUACACCGACGCAAUGAUUGGCCUUCAGGCAGGAUCAAAAGGCACGAAAGGAACGGUUGACGGGAUUAUGCGCUAUAUAUUCACAGAUGGCGCUAUGUACAGCUUUAACUUAGAAAGAAGAGCAGACAAGAUUCCACUUCAUAGACUUAAGGCGGUUGAACUUAUAUUUGACCUCUUUUCAGAAAAAGCAAAAGAAGAUAUCCAAGGCGCUAUUAGAAAAUAUGUUAGUUUAAGUCACAAUAGAUG